rnacentral:ncRNA from 2 species
GCCCUAGAUGUAAAGAUUUGAAUAUUCAGGUAGAUUUGAGGCUAUCCUGGGGCUU